rnacentral:rRNA from 1 species
UACAGAGGUCUCAAGCGUUGUUCGGAUUCAUUGGGCGUAAAGGGUGCGUAGGCGGCGCGGUAAGUCGGGUGUGAAAACUCGGGGCUUAACUCCGGGCCUGCAGUGGGUACGGGCAGACUAGAGUGCGGUAGGGGAGACUGGAAUUCCUGGUGUAGCGGUGAAAUGCGCAGAUAUCAGGAGGAACACCGGUGGCGAAGGCGGGUCUCUGGGCCGUAACUGACGCUGAGGAGCGAAAGCGUGGGGAGCGAACAGG